ACGGGUGAGUAAUAUAUCGGAACGUACCUUUGAGUGGGGGAUAACUAGUCGAAAGAUUAGCUAAUACCGCAUACGAUCUACGGAUGAAAGUGGGGGAUCGCAAGACCUCAUGCUCAUAGAGCGGCCGAUAUCUGAUUAGCUAGUUGGUGAGGUAAAGGCUCACCAAGGCUUCGAUCAGUAGCUGGUCUGAGAGGACGACCAGCCACACUGGGACUGAGACACGGCCCAGACUCCUACGGGAGGCAGCAGUGGGGAAUUUUGGACAAUGGGGGCAACCCUGAUCCAGCAAUGCCGCGUGAGUGAAGAAGGCCUUCGGGUUGUAAAGCUCUUUUGUCAGGGAAGAAACGGGGGUUCCUAAUACGGGCCCCUAAUGACGGUACCUGAAGAAUAAGCACCGGCUAACUACGUGCCAGCAGCCGCGGUAAUACGUAGGGUGCAAGCGUUAAUCGGAAUUACUGGGCGUAAAGCGUGCGCAGGCGGUUAUGUAAGACAGGUGUGAAAUCCCCGGGCUUAACCUGGGAAUGGCAUUUGUGACUGCAUAGCUAGAGUGUGUCAGAGGGGGGUAGAAUUCCACGUGUAGCAGU
rnacentral:rRNA from 1 species